GACAGAGGGUGCAAGCGUUGUUCGGAAUCACUGGGCGUAAAGCGCACGUAGGCGGCUAGGUAAGUCAUAUGUGAAAUCCCAGGGCUCAACCCUGGAACUGCAUCUGAUACUGCCUAGCUUGAGUUCCGGAGAGGUUGGUGGAAUUCCUGGUGUAGAGGUGAAAUUCGUAGAUAUCAGGAGGAACACCGGUGGCGAAGGCGACCAACUGGACGGAAACUGACGCUGAGGUGCGAAAGCGUGGGGAGCAAACAGG
rnacentral:rRNA from 1 species